CGGCCGCCACCAGCCCGGUCCGCUCAGCUCGUGGCGCGGCGCGAUGCGGCGGACCCGCGGCGUGGAGGGAGGAAGGUUGGCUUUUAAUGUCUUGCUGCCUCUAAUCUGCCUUUAAGUAGUCUCCGCUUGCGUCACUGACAGAUACCCUUAGAGACUGUACCUGAGACACCACCAAACAAUUCCACACAAAACACUGGCACCAACUGGAAUUGACUGUUCUCUGGUGGAGAAGCAUAAAAUAUAUUCUGUAUAUUUCAAUAAAGAUUAAAUAAAGCUUCA